UGACUCUGAAUAAAGUAUACUUUGAGGAACUAGGGUUCUUUUAGUGCCACAUCAUCAGAAACCCUGCCCCAGAAUGAGGUAAAAAGGCACCCAACCAGAGAGCCUAGAGUAUUCAUCCGAAUCGUUCUGACACAUUAAGCUGCUGUUGAAGCAUCAGAGAAAAAUCCUGAGAAUAUGAAGAACCUUCUCAUGACCAUGGGGCUGGCUUCAGUCUGUGGCCUCCAGAUCCUCAAUAAUCAAUAACAACUUGGGAGAUGUGUCAAAAGUUAAAGAAGUUCUAGUUUUUCUCCACAAUGAACCUGAGAUAAGGAAGAACAUUAUUAUGCCUAUUUUGCAGGAAAAAUGGCAAAUGCUUUCAAUUUUCUUUGAUUCCUUUCAUAGGAGAUGAUGGUCAAAUGUGUGUGCAAUAUGAUGGACUGAAUGAUUUCUCCCUUCAAAGUGUAGACUCUAAACAUGCCAUGUUAGUCUUGAAUAAUAUCAACAAUGGGAAAGUGG